GUGCUCGCUUCAGCAGCACAUAUACUGUACUAAAAUUGGAACGAUACAGAGUAAAUUAGCAUGGCUCCUGUGCAAGGAUGACAUGCAAAUUCGUGAAGUGUUCCAUAUUUAA
ensembl:snRNA U6 U6 spliceosomal RNA